rnacentral:rRNA from 1 species
GACGAACGCUGGCGGCGUGCUUAACACAUGCAAGUCGAACGGUGAAGCUCCAGCUUGCUGGAGUGGAUCAGUGGCGAACGGGUGAGUAACACGUGAGCAACCUGCCCCUGACUCUGGAAUAAGCGCUGGAAACGGCGUCUAAUACUGGAUACGAGAAGGGUCCGCAUGGGCACUUUCUGGAAAGUUUUUCGGUUGGGGAUGGGCUCGCGGCCUAUCAGCUUGUUGGUGAGGUAAUGGCUCACCAAGGCGACGACGGGUAGCCGGCCUGAGAGGGCGACCGGCCACACUGGGACUGAGACACGGCCCAGACUCCUACGGGAGUCAGCAGUGGGGAAUAUUGCACAAUGGGCGAAAGCCUGAUGCAGCGACGCCGCGUGAGGGAUGACGGCCUUCGGGUUGUAAACCUCUUUCAGCAGGGAAGAAGCGAAAGUGACGGUACCUGCAGAAGAAGCACCGGCUAACUACGUG